GCCAGCAAACAUAUUUGUGUCAGCUGUUGGAAUGCUUCCCCAACAGAAAGCUCUGCCAUGAGAUAAUCCAAGAGUCCCGCUCUCAGCAGGCUUUGACUCCCCAAGCCGCCUCUGCACCUUCUUCCACUGUACUGCGCUGGCCAGGACUCCUGGAAGCUAGGAUCCCCAAACUUCUUCUGACAGACUGGUGAGUCCCGAACCCCUUAGCUCUGGCAUCAGUCAGCUCCUCUGUUCCUUUGCAGUCCAAAGAGGUACAAGAACAUCAUAAAAAAAGAAAAACAAUAAAAUUAAUGUUUUCUUUCAUCUCUUCUGUGCUACCAGCUUUCCUACUUCGGGGGGAAAUCUUGUUCACAGUGAUCACUUUCAAAACUGACCCAAGGUGAAUGUCUGUAAUUCUGGAUCUGACAGGAGACUUAUUGCCUUUCAUAAUUGUAAAUAACUG